rnacentral:rRNA from 1 species
UACGGAGGGUGCGAGCGUUGUCCGGAAUCACUGGGCGUAAAGGGCGCGUAGGUGGCCUGAUGAGUCAACGGUGAAAGCUCGACGCUCAACGUCGAGUCGGCCGUCGAUACUGUCGGGCUGGAGCACUGUAGAGGCUCAUGGAAUUCCGGGUGUAGCGGUGGAAUGCGUAGAGAUCCGGAAGAACACCGGUGGCGAAGGCGGUGAGCUGGGCAGUAGCUGACACUGAGGCGCGACAGCGUGGGGAGCAAACAGG